CUGCAGUUAAAUCGCCAUUUUAUUGCAAAACGAAUUCAGUUCACUCCUGAAUCGCACGAAGAACAAUAUACAGGGUUCAAACAACAUAACUGAGGGCUACGAAAUGAUUCCGCAAAUUAAAUAUUCCGUGACGGAUCGUUGGACCUCGGCAGUGAUGGCGUGCAAAUUGAUUGUCUUAUAAGCUGCAAAUGCUUGCAUAGAACCCAAGCCUUAGGCACACCGUGUAUGGGAUAACCACAACAGCGGUAUGGCAUGAUACCCGACGUGAAGCAGAGCUUCUGCUACCACCGCACGUUAUUGAGCGAUUGUUUUCCAAUCACAGCACUUCCUGAGUUUUAUUCCACUUAUCCUUGCACGUAACGUGCCGAUAAUUAAAAACGUCACACUUAUUAACAGAUGACGCGGCACACUUUUUAACCAGGUACGUUUAACGAUGUGGAACAUCCGCGGCACGUGUUCGUUCCCGCCGUCACUUAGAUCUCGUCGUCUUACGUUACGCCGAGAGUCCGCGCUACAGUACACACCUAAAAAAAAAAAAAAAGAAGAAGAAGGGAAAAAAAAGACUAUACGUUGCUAUAGAAACCUGCGAGUUGAAUUACAGCCGGCACCAGAUGGAGCCGAGCUGCUUGAGAAAAUUAAUCAACACCUUCCGACCAAUCAGAUUCAAGAAUGACUUUGAAACUCUGUGAAUAUAUAUAUAUAUACAUAUAAAACUUUCCAGCUGGGUUUUGUAGGUAAAAAAAAAAAAAAAACACUUAAAAAGAAAGCGAAAACAAACAUGAACGUGGUUUUUUGCAUGCGUUUGCGAAGGUACUCAUGCGUCAUUUGUCCUCCACUGAGGAGCUCUACUUCCUGCGGUUACCGUUUUGCUACUCUCAGUUUUCACUGGUUAUUGAUGUUCGGCGUUGAGAAGUGCAGUCAGGUCAGGUUGAGAAAAUUACUCCGAGUUCAAGUGGCCUUCGGUACUUUUUCCAUUUUCCGGAAACUAGAACCGCGUCCUGAAAUCCGUAUAGACGGGUGCAGAUCGGCACCCGCCUCAGCUCGACUGCAGGUUAGGGAACGUGACCCAAGGACGCAUAAAUUCCAGACAGGCAAGAUUGUAAGGAUUCGCGGAUAAUUAAAAACGAAGCCCGGAAAGUGCCUUGUCAGAUUAUGCAACGAAAAAAAAUUGAAUUCAACCUUAACUCUGCUCCUGACUUGGCAGGGAUCUGAGAGCGUCUGGGAGGCCUGCUGUCUCCCUCCCUUUUCCU
ensembl:lncRNA